rnacentral:rRNA from 1 species
GGGACGGCCCGCAAGAGGACCCAAACUCUAAUGUUUCUUAUUGUAACUUCUGAGUAAAACAAACAAAUAAAUCAAAACUUUCAACAACGGAUCUCUUGGUUCUGGCAUCGAUGAAGAACGCAGCAAAAUGCGAUAAGUAAUGUGAAUUGCAGAAUUCAGUGAAUCAUCGAAUCUUUGAACGCACAUUGCGCCCGCUGGUAUUCCGGCGGGCAUGCCUGUUCGAGCGUCAUUUCAACCCUCAAGCCCCCGGGUUUGGUGUUGGGGAUCGGCUCUGCCCUUCUGGGCGGUGCCGCCCCCGAAAUACAUUGGCGGUCUCGCUGCAGCCUCCAUUGCGUAGUAGCUAACACCUCGCAACUGGAACGCGGCGCGGCCAUGCCGUAAAACCCCAACUUCUGAAUGUUGACCUCGGAUCAGGUAGGAAUACCCGCUGAACUUAAGCAUAUCAAUAAGCGGA